UAUAUAUUUACUCAUCAUUGUCACUGUUAGACUCAUUUUGUGAUUUA
rnacentral:guide_RNA from 1 species